ACAUGCACAGACAGCCACACCUCGCUCCUUAGGACCCCAGCCGCCAUAUGCUGCACCAAUUGGGAGCUCAACUUGCCAAGAACUCUAGAAGAAAGAGAAAAGUGGUGAAAACUGACCCCAGCACAGCACAAACAUGUUGGAAAUCUUUGAGUUGUAGACCUAAGCGAACUUUUGGAGAGAAAAUGUUCUUUCAACUGCUUUCAGGAGCGUGUAAAAUCAGCAGAUGCCAGCCAAAUGUUGCAUAAUCUCAAAGGGAGCAUCCAUUCAUCUUCAGCCUGGUCCCUGUCCUCUGGCUAAAAGGGGUAGCAAUAUUUCUGCCUGCGUCCAGGAGGGUGAAACUGUCAUGUUUUUUUUUCCCCGGCUCUGUCUGAUAAGUUCUCCAUCCCAUCUUUUCUUUAAGAGGUUUCCUGCCAGAGCUGUGCAAAGGUUGAAGUGGAUGAUGAAGAGGCUGAGCAGGGGGCCUGGCAGUGCUGCAUCCCACACAGGCGCCUCUCUUGUGGGCAUGCCGAGAGGGACAUGGCCCCCGUGAUGGAAGGUUGCUGGCAGUCUGGAGCCGGAACUACA